rnacentral:rRNA from 1 species
CGAGUGCCGUCCGCUGAGGAUGGCUUUUCCUCGGUGUAACGAGCCGGAGGAAUAAGGAGAGGGCAAGACUGGUGUCAGCCGCCGCGGUAAUACCAGCUCUCCGAGUGGUGGGGAUGAUUAUUGGGCCUAAAGCGUCCGUAGCCGGCUUGGCAAGUCUUCCGUUAAAUCCAACGACCUAAUCGUUGGGCCGCGGGAGAUACUGUUAGGCUAGGGGGCGGGAGAGGCCGACGGUAUUCCCGGGGUAGGGGUGAAAUCCUAUAAUCCCGGGAGGACCACCAGUGGCGAAGGCGGUCGACUAGAACGCGCUCGACGGUGAGGGACGAAAGCUGGGGGAGCGAACCGGAUUAGAUACCCGGGUAGUCCCAGCCGUAAACGAUGCGGGCUAGGUGUUGGGGUGGCUACGAGCCACUCCAGUGCCGCAGGGAAGCCAUUAAGCCCGCCGCCUGGGGAGUACGGCCGCAAGGCUGAAACUUAAAGGAAUUGGC